rnacentral:rRNA from 1 species
AUACGUAGGUCCCGAACGUUGCGCGAAAUUACUGGGCGUAAAGGGUCCGUAGGCGGUCUGGUAAGUGGAAGGUGAAAGCCUGGGGCUCAACUCCAGAAUUGCCUUCCAAACUGCCGGACUUGAGGCAGGGAGAGGUCGGCGGAAUUCCCGGUGUAGCGGUGAAAUGCGUAGGUAUCGGGAGGAACACCAGUGGCGAAGGCGGCCGACUGGAACUGUCCUGACGCUGAGGGACGAAAGCCAGGGGAGCGAACCGGAUUAGAAACCCUAGUAGUCC